rnacentral:rRNA from 1 species
GACGAACGCUGGCGGCGUGCUUAAUACAUGCAAGUCAACUGAACUUUAGGUAGCAAUAUUUAAAGGGAGGUGGCGCACGGGUGAGUAACACGUAGGUAAUCUGCCUUCAGGACUGACAUAAUUCCGCGAAAGCGGGACUAAAAUCAGAUGAUGCAGCGGCUCGACAUCGAGACAGUUGUUAAACCUUCGGGGCCUGAAGAUGAGCCUGCGUCUGAUUAGGUAGUUGGCGGGGUAAAAGCCCACCAAGCCUGCGAUCAGUAGCUGGUCUGAGAGGAUGAUCAGCCACACUGGAACUGAGACACGGUCCAGACUCCUACGGGAGGCAGCAGUAAGGAAUAUUGCUCAAUGGCCGAAAAGGCUGAAGCAGCAACGCCGCGUGGAGGGAUGAAAUACUUUAGUAUGUAAACUCCUGUAAGAGGGGGAAAAGUAAUACAGCUAUGCUGUGUUGAUUGUACCCUCAGAGUAAGCACCGGCUAACU